rnacentral:rRNA from 1 species
GGUGAGGGCGGUGCCGCAGAGGGGAUUAAAACCCCCUUUGUGGAAGCUAAGCAGGGUCAGGCCUGGUUAGUACUUGGAUGGGAGACCACCUAAAAAGACCAGGUGCCGUAGGCA